GGUGAUAUAGUUCAGUUGGUAGAGUGCUUGCCUCACAUGCACAACCCCUUGGGUUCAAUCCCCAGUAUCACCA
rnacentral:tRNA from 1 species